UACAGAGGGUGCAAGCGUUGUCCGGAAUUAUUGGGCGUAAAGAGCUCGUAGGCGGUUUGUCGCGUCUGCUGUGAAAACGCGAGGCUCAACCUCGCGCCUGCAGUGGGUACGGGCAGACUAGAGUGCGGUAGGGGAGAUUGGAAUUCCUGGUGUAGCGGUGGAAUGCGCAGAUAUCAGGAGGAACACCGAUGGCGAAGGCAGAUCUCUGGGCCGUAACUGACGCUGAGGAGCGAAAGCGUGGGGAGCGAACAGG
rnacentral:rRNA from 1 species